rnacentral:rRNA from 1 species
GUUAAGCGACUAAGCGUACACGGUGGAUGCCCUGGCAGUCAGAGGCGAUGAAGGACGUGCUAAUCUGCGAUAAGCGUCGGUAAGGUGAUAUGAACCGUUAUAACCGGCGAUUUCCGAAUGGGGAAACCCAGUGUGUUUCGACACACUAUCAUUAACUGAAUCCAUAGGUUAAUGAGGCGAACCGGGGGAACUGAAACAUCUAAGUACCCCGAGGAAAAGAAAUCAACCGAGAUUCCCCCAGUAGCGGCGAGCGAACGGGGAGGAGCCCAGAGCCUGAAUCAGUGUGUGUGUUAGUGGAAGCGUCUGGAAAGGCGCGCGAUACAGGGUGACAGCCCCGUACACAAAAAUGCACAUGCUGUGAGCUCGAUGAGUAGGGCGGGACACGUGGUAUCCUGUCUGAAUAUGGGGGGACCAUCCUCCAAGGCUAAAUACUCCUGACUGACCGAUAGUGAACCAGUACCGUGAGGGAAAGGCGAAAAGAACCCCGGCGAGGGGAGUGAAAAAGAACCUGAAACCGUGUACGUACAAGCAGUGGGAGCACGCUUAGGCGUGUGACUGCGUACCUUUUGUAUAAUGGGUCAGCGACUUAUAUUCUGUAGCAAGGUUAACCGAAUAGGGGAGCCGAAGGGAAACCGAGUCUUAACUGGGCGUUAAGUUGCAGGGUAUAGACCCGAAACCCGGUGAUCUAGCCAUGGGCAGGUUGAAGGUUGGGUAACACUAACUGGAGGACCGAACCGACUAAUGUUGAAAAAUUAGCGGAUGACUUGUGGCUGGGGGUGAAAGGCCAAUCAAACCGGGAGAUAGCUGGUUCUCCCCGAAAGCUAUUUAGGUAGCGCCUCGUGAAUUCAUCUCCGGGGGUAGAGCACUGUUUCGGCAAGGGGGUCAUCCCGACUUACCAACCCGAUGCAAACUGCGAAUACCGGAGAAUGUUAUCACGGGAGACACACGGCGGGUGCUAACGUCCGUCGUGAAGAGGGAAACAACCCAGACCGCCAGCUAAGGUCCCAAAGUCAUGGUUAAGUGGGAAACGAUGUGGGAAGGCCCAGACAGCCAGGAUGUUGGCUUAGAAGCAGCCAUCAUUUAAAGAAAGCGUAAUAGCUCACUGGUCGAGUCGGCCUGCGCGGAAGAUGUAACGGGGCUAAACCAUGCACCGAAGCUGCGGCAGCGACGCUUAUGCGUUGUUGGGUAGGGGAGCGUUCUGUAAGCCUGCGAAGGUGUGCUGUGAGGCAUGCUGGAGGUAUCAGAAGUGCGAAUGCUGACAUAAGUAACGAUAAAGCGGGUGAAAAGCCCGCUCGCCGGAAGACCAAGGGUUCCUGUCCAACGUUAAUCGGGGCAGGGUGAGUCGACCCCUAAGGCGAGGCCGAAAGGCGUAGUCGAUGGGAAACAGGUUAAUAUUCCUGUACUUGGUGUUACUGCGAAGGGGGGACGGAGAAGGCUAUGUUGGCCGGGCGACGGUUGUCCCGGUUUAAGCGUGUAGGCUGGUUUUCCAGGCAAAUCCGGAAAAUCAAGGCUGAGGCGUGAUGACGAGGCACUACGGUGCUGAAGCAACAAAUGCCCUGCUUCCAGGAAAAGCCUCUAAGCAUCAGGUAACAUCAAAUCGUACCCCAAACCGACACAGGUGGUCAGGUAGAGAAUACCAAGGCGCUUGAGAGAACUCGGGUGAAGGAACUAGGCAAAAUGGUGCCGUAACUUCGGGAGAAGGCACGC